rnacentral:rRNA from 1 species
GACGAACGCUGGCGGCGUGCUUAACACAUGCAAGUCGAACGGAAAGGCCCUGCUUGCAGGGUGCUCGAGUGGCGAACGGGUGAGUAACACGUGGGUGAUCUGCCCCUUACUUUGGGAUAAGCCUGGGAAACUGGGUCUAAUACUGGAUAGGACCAUGCUGUAGGUGGUGUGGUGGAAAGAUUAGUUUCGGUAAGGGAUGAGCUCGCGGCCUAUCAGCUUGUUGGUGGGGUAAUGGCCUACCAAGGCGUCGACGGGUAGCCGGCCUGAGAGGGUGGACGGCCACAUUGGGACUGAGAUACGGCCCAGACUCCUACGGGAGGCAGCGGUGGGGAAUAUUGCACAAUGGGCGCAAGCCUGAUGCAGCGACGCCGCGUGGGGGAUGACGGCCUUCGGGUUGUAAACUCCUUUCAGCCAUGACGAAGCCCUUGUGGUGACGGUAGUGGGAGAAGAAGCACCGGCUAACUACGUG